rnacentral:rRNA from 1 species
AGUGAACGCUGGCGGUAGGCCUAACACAUGCAAGUCGAACGGCAGCACAGUAAGAGCUUGCUCUUACGGGUGGCGAGUGGCGGACGGGUGAGGAAUACAUCGGAAUCUACUUUUUCGUGGGGAAUAACGUAGGGAAACUUACGCUAAUACCGCAUACGACCUACGGGUGAAAGCAGGGGAUCUUCGGACCUUGCGCGAUUGAAUGAGCCGAUGUCGGAUUAGCUAGUUGGCGGGGUAAAGGCCCACCAAGGCGACGAUCCGUAGCUGGUCUGAGAGGAUGAUCAGCCACACUGGAACUGAGACACGGUCCAGACUCCUACGGGAGGCAGCAGUGGGGAAUAUUGGACAAUGGGCGCAAGCCUGAUCCAGCCAUACCGCGUGGGUGAAGAAGGCCUUCGGGUUGUAAAGCCCUUUUGUUGGGAAAGAAAAGCAGCAGGUUAAUACCCCGCUGUUCUGACGGUACCCAAAGAAUAAGCACCGACUAACUUCGUG